AUAUCUCCUUAAGGCCACUCAGAGAGUCUGCUGAGCUCACACAUGUAAAACACUUCAUAGGUUGUAAGUGCUCCUGAGACACUGGGGACACCUGCGUUUGUCCCUGGCUCUCUGUCCUCUUCUCGUCUCUGUUCCCUGAGAGCACAGGCUCUGUCUGCAUGUCCUCCAGUUCUGCAGGGGCCCAGGGUGGUAUCCGGGAGGGCCCUGCUGGGCUGGUCCUGUCCCAGAGCCCCUCACAACUGUGCUUCCUGGGAUGGGGGCUUCUUCCAGGCCUAGAACCUCCAGCGCUGGAGUGCAUGGAAAAAGACCACGUGGAGCCAGAUCAUGUGCUGAUUGUCCAGCAGGUGCUUCAAGAACUUCGACAGUACCAUGGGAGCGAGGACAGUGCUGGCAAGAAUGAGAAGAGUGACAAGAGCACCAGUGUGAAGCGCAGGCUGAGCUGCCUCCGCAGUCGCGUGACCAGGCAGAAGGAGAAGGUGAGGGAAGCUGAGCCGCGGGGUUCCCCUCUGCCUUCCCCAGCUUGGCAUGCUGCCCUUAGCCCAGGAGUCCUGUGAUUGGAGCUGGCGGUGGGCUGAGGGCCCAGUACCUACCAGGCACAGUCGUUCACGCCUGUGAUCCCAGCACUUUGGGAGUCUAAGGCGGGUGGUUCACCUGAGGUCAGGAGUUCGAGACCAGCCUGGCCAACAUGGUGAAACCCUGUCUCUACUGAAAAUACAAAAAUUAGAUGGGUGUGGUGGUGGGCAUCUGUAAUCCCAGCUACUUGGGAGGCUGAGGCAGGAGAGUGGCUUGAACCCGGGAGGCAGAGGUUGCAGUGAGCCAAGAUUGUGCCACUGCACUCCAGCUGGAUCUUAAAAAGAGAGAGAGAGAGAGAGGGCCGGCCCCUGCAGAGGGCAUCCUAGCAUCCUGAGACCCACCUCUGUCCCAUCCAGGCAAAGAGCCCAGCACAUCUAAAGGAGAAGGGCCAGGAUGCCCGAGAGAGGCGGGAGUGUGUCAAUGGGCAUCAGCUGGUACAGGGGACCUUCUCCAGCCCCUCCAGCUGCCCCCUGUGUGGCAAACCCUUCUUGAGCUCAGGUAAGUCUGGUGGCCCAAUCCAUCGUCCU
rnacentral:lncRNA from 1 species